GUAGAGUACUGGGGUGGUAGGGCACUGAGGUGGUAGAGUACUGAGGUGGUAGAGUACUGGGGUGGUAGGGUACUGAGGUGGUAGGGUACUGAGGUGGUAGAGUACUGGGGUGGUAGAGUACUGAGGUGGUAGAGUACUGGGGUGGUAGAGUACUGAGGUGGUAGAGUACUGGGGUGGUAGGGUACUGAGGUGGAAGAGUACUGAGGUGGUAGAGUACUGGGGUGGUAGGGUACUGAGGUGGUAGGGUACUGAGGUGGUAGAGUACUGGGGUGGUAGAGUACUGAGGUGGUAGAGUACUGGGGUGGUAGGGUACUGAGGUGGUAGGGUACUGAGGUGGUAGAGUACUGGGGUGGUAGAGUACUGAGGUGGUAGAGUACUGGGGUGGUAGAGUACUGGGGUGUUAGAGUACUGAAGUGGUAGAGUACUGGGGUGGUAGGGUACUGAGGUGGUAGGGUACUGGGGUGGUAGAGUACUGGGGUGUUAGAGUACUGAAGUGGUAGAGUACUGGGGUGGUAGGGUACUGAGGUGGUAGGGUACUGAGGUGGUAGAGUAUUCCCUUCAUCACUCUCUUUCUCCCUCCCUUUGUCACUCUCUCUCUCGCUCCUUCCCUUCGUCACUCUCUCUUUCUCUCUCUCCCUUCGUCACUCUCUCUCUCUCGCUCCCUCCCUUCAUCACUCUCUCUCGCUCCCUCCCUUCAUCACUCUCUCCCUCUCCCUCCCUUCGUCACUCUCUCUCUCGCUCCCUCCCUUCAUC
ensembl:lncRNA